GACGAACGCUGGCGGCGUGCUUAACACAUGCAAGUCGAACGGAAAGGCCCUGCUUUUGUGGGGUGCUCGAGUGGCGAACGGGUGAGUAACACGUGGGUAACCUGCCCUUGACUUUGGGAUAACUUCAGGAAACUGGGGCUAAUACCGGAUAGGAGCUCCUGCUGCAUGGUGGGGGUUGGAAAGUUUCGGCGGUUGGGGAUGGACUCGCGGCUUAUCAGCUUGUUGGUGGGGUAGUGGCUUACCAAGGCUUUGACGGGUAGCCGGCCUGAGAGGGUGACCGGCCACAUUGGAACUGGGAUACGGCCCAGACUCCUACGGGAGGCAGCGGUGGGGAUAUUGCACAAUGGGCGGAAGCCUGAUGCAGCAACGCCGCGUGCGGGAUGACGGCCUUCGGGUUGUAAACCGCUUUCGCCUGUGACGAAGCGUGAGUGACGGUAAUGGGUAAAGAAGCACCGGCUAACUACGUG
rnacentral:rRNA from 1 species